rnacentral:rRNA from 1 species
AGUGAACGUUGGCGGCGUGGAUUAGGCAUGCAAGUCGAGCGAGAACCGUAGCAAUACGGGGACAGCGGCGAAAGGGACAGUAAUGUGUAGGUACCUACCCCGAGGUCUGGGAUAGCUGCGGGAAACUGCAGGUAAUACCGGAUAAUGUCUUCGGACCAAAGGUGUGAUUCCACCUUGGGAGGGGCCUGCAUCCUAUUAGCUUGUUGGCGGGGUAACGGCCCACCAAGGCGACGAUGGGUAGCGGGUGUGAGAGCACGACCCGCGUCAUUGGGACUGAGACACUGCCCAGACACCUACGGGUGGCUGCAGUCGAGGAUCUUCGGCAAUGGGCGCAAGCCUGACCGAGCGACGCCGCGUGCGGGAUGAAGGCCUUCGGGUUGUAAACCGCUGUCGUAGAGGAGGAAAUGCAGGGGGGUUCUCCCUUCUGUUUGACCUAUUCUAGGAGGAAGGACGGGCUAAGUUCGUGCCAGCCGCCGCCGCGG